GUGCUCUUCAAUGGACAAAGGCCAUAAGAGGCUAGAAAGCAAAAGGACCCAUUAAUGUAAUGCAAACAUCAGUCUCCUGGAGUAAACAGGUGGCUGAUUUUCCAAUAAUAUUAAAUACUUUUGGAAGGGCUGGGACUACAUCUAAUUUCUUGAAAAGUCUGGUGUUGUGGAAGACCAAGACCCAGACUGUUGAGUCUAUUCUAGAUCCCUGCUCAGGAACCCACUGUGGGCCAAUCAACAGCCUCCCAAAAGGAGUCAGAGAGUUCCAGAAGCUCCCAUUCCAGUGCCAGCUGAGAAUCCAUUUGGAUAAUAACGGAGUAAAAACUCUGGUUUGGAGAAAGUUUCUGUAAUGUUUUUCUUUUUCUUUUUUGGUGGAAGGGAGAAUAAAAGAGGAUAUUGCCUGGUAAGCAUGCAAAUAAAAAAUCCCAUCAAUUUCACUAGAAUUGCUCAGAACCUCAACUCUGGUGAACUGCAGGUGACAACACUUUACAACAGUGACAACUGCAGGUGACAACACGUGUAAAUAAUAGUAUUAUUUACAUGAUUGGGGGCUUCCCUGGAAACUGCGCUGACCCUGAGAUGAUUGAACAUUCAGAGUAAAACCCUUGAUAUAGUUCAUAAAAUUGGAUUCAAAUGAAAAGUUUAAUGUAGAGUGAUUUGAAAAUAACACUAAGAGCUCUUCCCUGAAUUCAAAAGAAAAAGCAAGGAAAACAUGUUAGUCUCAGCAGGAGCCAAGACUGUAGUAGGUCGGGGAAGGUGGAGAGGACAGUGUUUUGGUUUUAUUAUGUCUACUUUUCUCUUAUUGAAGAAUAGAAGAUGGAUGGCUUGAUGCCUGAGGUAAUUCAGUAUGUUUCACCAAUUUGGAGAUGGUCAUUUGUCUCUACUUAAGUCUUGGAAAUUAUGUUGAAAUACUAUAAUUUCUGUAAACUGGGAAGGUCACAAUGUGGUGGUUGUCAUUGCCUGGACAUGCACAAACUUGGUUGUGAUUCCUGGUGGCAUGCUUAGACAGACAACUGCAACCCCCUGACACUUAAUUCGAGAAAUCAUUUAAGAAUCACUUGAAAAAGGAAUAUAUUGUUGUUGUCCUUCCAAUAACUGAGUGUCUUCUGAAAAUCUUUCAUUGUCACUUUCUGGUAAUACACAAGGACUAGAACUUCCUGAGUGAGCAUUAGCAGCACAGAAAAAAUCUGGGAGAUAAUGGUGGAGCUCUGUUAAGAAACACUACAUCAUCAACAUUGUUAACACAUUUAAUGGCACAAAGGAUGAUAUUAAAAGAAUAUAUAUAGAUAGUGAUGACUCUGAGUCAAAGAGUGAUUCAAAAGAAUCAAAUUCUGUUUGUGAAGAAGUUUAGGACAUCUUAAACCUAUUUAUUUUAUUUUAUUACAUAUAUACAAGACUGAUACAAG
rnacentral:lncRNA from 1 species